ensembl:snRNA U1 U1 spliceosomal RNA
GUGCUUACCUAGAAGGGGAGAGAGAUACUAUGAUCACAAGGGCAGUCUUCUCACUCUAAGGCUCGCGCCCAUUGUACUCUAGAUCUGAUAGCUCUGUCAUUUCCCCACAUUCAGAUGUUGUGACUACAUAAUUUGUGGAAGCAGGGACUGUGUUCACACCUUCCUUU